ACCAAUAAUAAUACUUCAACAAUUACGUAUUUGUCCUAAGGGCCAGUUGAGGAGCUUCCCGUUGUCCAAGGGGAUAUGUUCUUCAAAGAGCGGCACAUGUAGGUCUGGUAAAAUGUGGUAGACACCGCAGGCACAUUUGUCUAAUCAGAGGAGGUAUAAUGCGCAAUUGCAAUUAUUCAAUUGUAAGACAAUCGUGAUCUCUUUAGUGCCUUUGUUGCAUAAGAUAUUUUAUUUUCCUCUAUUUAAGCAUUCUCAAUUUCUAAAGUAGUGACAUGUUUGGUCACUCGCUUACUGAGGUAGCUUUAAAGUGUUAGUCGCUAAGCUGAUAUUGCUAGGAGUGUGUCCCUGGAACGGAAGAAACUGCAAGAAAAAUGAUAGGGUACCAAACACAUACUAUAUAUUUAUUUUCUCCGGGAAGAAUGGCAAGUUUAGCAAGAUAAGGCGUGAAUACACGCAUUCAUCAGUUUUGUAUAUGUCAGUUACAGCUUGCCAUCCGUUUAUUGCAGGAAGGUACUUAGUUCUCUAAUUCAGAUGGAUGCUUUGUUGCUUCCCUUGACACCUUGAGUUAGACCUAAAUAUUGUCUGUCUUCUUGGUCUUUUUCCUUCUAAGUGCAGCCGGUCCAAUCCAUUAUACCAAUACUCAGAUGAAAGACUAGAAAUUGAUAUUAUUAUUAUUAUGUC